rnacentral:tRNA from 1 species
AGGGAUGUGGCUCAGUAGUAGAGUGCAUGCUUUAUAUUUAUGAGUCCCAGGGUUCAAUCCCUGGUACCACAA